rfam:Brachypodium distachyon strain Bd21 chromosome 1, whole genome shotgun sequence.
UUGCUACUCUUUCCGAUCCAUAUUAGUUGUCAAAAUAUUAUAUGUAUCUAGACGAUUUUUAGGCAUAGAUACAUCCAUAUUUGGGCAAAUUUGAGACAAUUAAUAUGGAUCGGAAGGAGUAUUGC